rnacentral:lncRNA from 1 species
GCGGUCUACCCAAGGAAACUGAGUGAGUUGAUCUGCACAAACCUCCUUACUAACAUUAGGAAACCUUCUGAUUUUGUGUACAGAUCUCUGCCUCCUAAGACUGGCAGCCUUGGUCCCAAAUAUUGGUAGAAAAUUGAGUUGGAAAAGCUUUCGGCAAAACCUUUCACAUAGUCAGGUAACCAAACUGCAAAUGCUAGCUCCUGGCCCAAAAGGCAGAGUUACAUGCAUCUCUCCUGAAGUUCCAGGCACUUGCUGGAUUUCUCUGUCAGGCAGGGGCUGACUGCAGCUCAGCCUCCUGUGUCUCCAGCCCCCAAGUCUGGAUCAAAAAGGCCUCCAUUCCAGCCAACCAAUCACACUUCCUCUUUCAUAUCUUGCUCCAUUGCACAUGCAUAAACACCUUUUCUCUCUCACCAGGAACAACAGAAAUGACAGAAGCCAGAAUCCACAACAUUAGGGGAAAACACGUGAAAGUCAACUCAGUCCAACGCCUCGAUCAGCAAGGUGAACUGCUGGAUUCACCUCACAAUCCCAACAGUUACUGAGAGGUCUCCCCACACCAAAUAAAACUAACACACUUGAGAUGGGCUGCCAAUAACUACUGUUGUAUGAAGCAGACUACUUAUUAACAUGUAUGAGAUCCCUUUUAAAUAAAAUAUUGUGCUACAUAGUUUGGAAAACUAAUCCCUACUCCCAACAUCUACCCAAAUGAUCUUUCAAAACAAAGUAAAAAAAUGAAAAUUCCAAGACCAUCGUUUUGUUUUUCAAGUGCACUAGGAGUCACAGAUUGGACAAAGAAUGAGAAUUUGGCUGUUCAGUAGCUUUCAGGACUUCAUAAUCAGCCGUCUUUUAAAUAUGGAAAUGACCGGAUGCUGUUAGAGC